GAUGUUUCACACUAUGAAUGAUCAAUCCACUAAGCAAAAAUGUACUCAUGAAAAUUAACAAAUCAUACCAAGCAAGUGUUUCACUCAAUCACUCAAGUGUUUAAGGUGACACUCCACUCUCUAUUGUUCACAAGUCACAUGAAAUAAAAUUGCCAUUCAUCUCAAACAAUCAACAUCUUUACAUGCGAAUGUCAUCAAAAGGACUUUUCCAAGGCUUGUAAUGAGGUUGGGCUAACAAGAAAAAUUGGUUUUUCUAGAAUGCAAAAUCCUUGAGUCAAGAGAGCUAACAACAUACUCAAUAUUUAAACACAACUCUCUCACCAAUCUCUCUCAUUCCCAACUUUUUCCCUUUUCUUUUUCUUUUUCAUUGAGCUCUUCUUCAUGCUUUUCUUCUUUUCUUUUCUUUUUCUCAUGAAUUUUUCUUUUCACAUUAUUUGAGCUCAAUGCUUUUCAUUUGCUUUUUCAAUUUUCCCCCGUACAACCCCA
rnacentral:lncRNA from 1 species